GCUAAAGGACUCACUAUUGGAAGAAUGAAGAAGACCUUUUAAAAAGAUCUGGAUUUUUCCUUAUGACUUGGAAUCCAUCUUUGUCUUGUAUAACUAGGUCAUAGCACACCAUUAAUGUCAGCAGUUAACAGUUUUGAAUUCCAAAAAACCUAAGUAAAUGACAUAUUUAAUUUUUUUCCUCUUUUUUUUUCUUGGGUGGGUGGGGGGAGCUUGGAGCUGUCUUAAUCUGUAUUCUCUUUGAACAAUAAAUUUUUAAAUAUAGUUUCCUCUAUUAAACACUUAUACCUGGCCAUCUUAUUAACUCCUUCUCUCUUUAACAAGGUAAUGUUUUAAAUGUAUAGUUUUAGGAUUAGCGAAAUGGCAGCAACAACAAAAAAUUGUGAGCAGUUGUUACUCUUUUAAGUUUUUAAAAACCUUUUACAUUGUAAGUACCCAAUCCAUUCUGUCCUUACGCAGUGCAGUUUUCAUGUAAAUGUUGGCUGAGAUGUCCUUUAAUUUUGCGAACCUUCAUCUGCAUGUAUGUCUUUGUCUCUCUUGUCUAAUAUAAGCCAGUUAAAAUGCUUUUAGACGAUUUUGCUUUUAUAAAGCUAAGGUUUUUAGCUUCAAGCUUUUGAAAAUGUUUACAGCAAUAAAUGCUAGUCAGCUUUCUUCCCAGUAACGUGUACACUUUCUUUGAAAAUCGAUCUAUUUGAAGAAAAACAGCUCUUGUUUUUCUCUUCUUGGGGUGGGAGAAUAGGGAGAGAAAGGAAGACCUUCUCUUUGUGUGGAAAGACUAAAGCGGUCACAGGAAACUAGAUUAAAACUGGAAAACAAGUCCUAGCUGGUUCGAGCCAAACACCAACGUUAACUCGGUGGUAUUUUCUAUGGUGGUUGGGAUGGCUGUUGCGCUUUUGCCUUUUGUUUGACUGUGUGUUUUCGCCUUUUGUCUCUUAAUGACGAUCACACCAUUGCUAUAUCCAGAGCAGUAAACAGUCCUCUGCGAAGCCGACUUUUUGCCAACCCAACUCUGGAAAAUGCAGACGUGGAAGGAAGCAGAAAAUGCCAUGAGAGUAUAACUUACAAAAAGGUUCUUGACCGGAGAAGGGGCCAUGUCUUGGUACCCCCGCAGAGUGGACAAUCCUUUCUUCUGGAUAACAGGAGCAGGCCUAGUGUGACUGACAGUCCUCCCACUGAGGUAGGUGAGAACCCUUUCCCAGGCUGUGAGGGCGAUUUAGGGGCUUUGGCCUGACGCCCGGGGAGGGCGGGUUGGGAUCCCCAAACCCGCUGGGCUGGUUCUGCCGCCCCUCCCCCACACAGAUGCGGCGACUGUGUGUGAAAUGGGCGGCCUGCUGGGUCUAUCCAGCCCCGCCUGUCAGCUUCUGUUGUCAGGCAUUUGGGGCGUGCAACUCUGCUGAAUUUAGCAGCUAACUAGAGGCUGCACUUGCAAGUAUUCCCCAGUUGUGUGUUUGUGGUGGGGGGAGGGCCUUGGAUGCCUCUUGCUUCUGAGACGUCCCAGCCGCAGCCCCCUCUUCCGGCCUUCAAUAUGAGCCACCUCUGAUGUCUGGUUGCUAGUGAGAUGAAGAAGAGACAGGCAUGAGAUCUGGGCCAGCUUUCCUGGAGGUUUCCGUGACUCUUCCUGCCCUUUCCAGGGUAUCCUCCUUGCUCCCCAAUGGGCAGGCAUGUAUAACCUGAUUUCUAGUGUGAAACCUGAAUGGCUG
ensembl:lncRNA